GAGAUGGGUGCCUCGGGAUGAGCUCCGUGGAGGGCCCUUCCAAACUUGACUGAUAUUGACUGAUACUGUUAGCUUUGGCUAUAUAACUGCAUGUCUCCUAGAAGGUACCUCUAGGGGCAUGAGACUGAUUGACUGACUCAAAUGGUGGUUACCACAGUGUGUCAUAUUUACCCUUAUUAGUUGGGUUCAUAGACUCAUGAUGCCUACAUUACAAGUGAGGGAGAUGUUUCCCUAGAUAUGAUAGGGGGCAUGUAGAUGGAGUAGACGAGGAGGCGAGAUGGAUGCACGACACACUGUUCAGAUGUCUUAGGAGUGUAGUGAAGAUAAAGGGAAAAGCUAGAUGAGCUAAAGGAGCAGCAGGAGGGGCAACGA